AUUGAACGCUGGCGGCAUGCUUUACACAUGCAAGUCGAACGGCAGCACGGACUUCGGUCUGGUGGCGAGUGGCGAACGGGUGAGUAAUACAUCGGAACGUGCCCAGUUGUGGGGGAUAACUACUCGAAAGAGUAGCUAAUACCGCAUGAGAACUGAGGUUGAAAGCAGGGGAUCGUAAGACCUUGCGCAACUGGAGCGGCCGAUGGCAGAUUGGGUAGUUGGUGGGAUAAAAGCUUCCCAAGCAGACGAUCUGUAGCUGGUGUGAGAGGACGACCGGCCACACUGGGACUGAGACACGGCCCAGACUCCUACGGGAGGCAGCAGUGGGGAAUUUUGGACAAUGGGCGAAAGCCUGAUCCAGCAAUGCCGCGUGCAGGAUGAAGGCCUUCGGGUUGUAAACUGCUUGUGUACGGAACGAAAAGCUUCGGGCUAAUACCCUGGAGUCAUGACGGUACCGUAAGAAUAAGCACCGGCUAACUACGUGCCAGCCGCCGCCGCAGUAA
rnacentral:rRNA from 1 species